CCGGGUGGGACUUAGGACUGACUUGGGGUCAGGACCUGACUCCGCCCCUUGCGCUACCUUGGGCAAGCCACUUGCUGACCCAGGCUCUCAGCUUCCCCACGUCUGAUGAAAUACCUACCUCACAGGGUUGUUAUAGGGAUCGAAUGAGUCAGUGUGCUCAAUUAUUAGCUAAUCAAGCACAUGUCUGGAGCGCCUACUACGUUAUGAAGGAGUGAAAGAGCCCUUGACUAAAGUGGUGAAGCCUGAAGAAGGGUCAGAUUGGGAGAGAAGAUCAAGAGUUUGGCUUUGAGAAGGAUGCGAAAUUGAGGCAGCCAGGAGCGCAGUUUGGACACGCCUGACGGCCUCCGCUCCUUGCUCCUUGCCGGGAGGAAUGCUUGAUGAGCCCACAGUGGAAGGGUCAGACAAAUGAGGUGGACAGAAAAUGGAUGGCAACCUUCGGCAGUGAGCGGCCUGGGCCAGGGGAGCCAGCCAUGACUGCCUGGGCAGUGGGGAGCACAUUCCCAGCCGACUUCAGCAGAGGGUGGAGGCAGCCAGACUGGGGAAGGAGCUAUGACUGGAGAUGUUUCAGGCACUGGAGAUGGAAUCAGACAGACAUAAUCCCAUCCUCAGGGAGCAACAGCCAGUGGGAAGAUCAACCAACCAACAUACACUAUUACAACCAGAGGCGCUGGGAAAGUCAGUAUCUGCGGGGAAGAAUUCACGUGGCUGGUCAAGGAAGGGCUCCACGGGAGGGAGGGACGUUAUACUGAGGCCUGAGGA